CUGCUAACAUUGGGGAAGACAUUUUGCCAUCUCUCUCGCGAGAGGAUAUCCGAGAUCUCUUUCCUGGUCCUGAGCACUUCCUGCGGCGCAAAGCCAUUUGGCGUUUGACUCAUAAGGAAGAACAGGUAAUUAAUUUCAUACACUUGUAUAUUGGAUAUUUUUAAUCUAUUAGUGGGCAUAAUUUCAGUACAGAUUCAUGUGAUUUGAUUUGUGUUUUAUUGUGUUUUAGGAGCACAUCAUUCCUGUUGAAGGUUCAUCAGCAGAUGAUAAACAUACUGAAAGUUCAAAACAAGAUGACCCCAGUACAUCAAAGUUUUUAAAGUUACCCAGUCCAGAAUAUGUUCUCUUCACUGACAGUGAACUACAACAGAUGAGACGCACAUACUUUGAGCAGCAGCGUCUUGGAAAAGAGGGUGACGUCACCUUAUCGAAAGAGCUAUUCUGCCGGCUCAUCCGAAAUACCAUGACAAACAUGGUAUCAAUAGCAAGAGCAUCUUCUGAUGACUACAAAUAUCCCACUAAACAUGAAGUUAUUGCCAUGGCAAAACGGUUAGUGGAAUACUACCCUAUGAUAAAAGAUAAGUCAACUGGAUCUAGGCACGAGUGGGACACUGUUGCUAAAAAGCUCCUGAAGCGACUUUCAAAUAUCCGAAGUCCCAUGAAGGCCAAACAGCCUCCUUUCAAAAGAGCACAUCAGGACAAAGAACUUUCUGCUGCUGUGACAAGUGACUAUGAUGCUGAUUCCAGUGCUUCAACAGUCAUUCUGUCAUCACCUUCAAGUUCAAGCACCCCACGGCAAGAAAAUGACAGCAUUGAUGAAGCAUCUGAUGGUCCUGACAACAGCCUUGACAGCCAGAAAACCCAGGCAAGACAUUACAGGACGCUCCAAGAAAUGUACAAAGCAAAGAAGCCAAAUAAAGCUGCUGUAACCCAUCUAUUAGACCUGGAGUUCCAGUCCAGAAGAAGUUUCAUUGACUCAAAUGUAUUGAAGGAGCAAGACAAACCCACAAAUAUUUUGCAAGCGUACCCCUGCUUCAAAGAAUUGGACCAUGCAAUGGAUGAACUACGAAGAAUCAUUGAGCCAAACAACUCCAAAUACAUUUCUGAGGUAAAGGACAGGUGGGAGACCUUCUACUCCAAGGUUCAGUUUUAUGGAGUGAUGAAAAAAGUCAUGAAGCCUCCAAGGACAUUAAAUGGAGGUAAAACUUUAAUAUAAUUUGAAUCUGUAUAGAUCAAGGGUUCUCAACUCUGGUCCUCAAGGUCCAGUUUAACUCCAAUCCUAAUUUAACACACCUGAGCUAAUCAGUGUUUUCAGGUUCUUACAAAAAUCUACAGGCUGGUGAGUUUAGAGCUAAAGGUUGAACCUGACCUCUAAUCUCAAGGGCCAAGUGUUGAGAACCCUUGUUAUAGAUCAGUUAUUUUUUUAAUUCAAGAAGUUUUCUGUUUUCAGUUGAAAACAAUGUUGUGUAAACAGUCCCUUAAUUCAGGUCUCCUGGAUCAGAAACCAGUGGUAUAGAUUAUCCCCAUACAUCUACAGUAAUAUCUGAUGUUAAUAUCUUUUUUUUUUUAAACUAAUCUAGUUGAACAUGCCAUUGCUGUUUUUACUGCCCUACCGCUGCUCUUCCCAUCUGGGUCUGCAGCACCGAAGAAACAGGUCCCAAUCAGUGAGGCUCUUUUCCAUGUUCUGACGGUGAGUUUUACUUUAAGUAGUGAUAAGUUAUUAACAGGUGACUACAUUGUCAAUAAAAUACUAAGUUAAAACCAUCUCAAUUGCACUACGUAAAAUUGGACAUGCAACGUAACAACUAACUUAAAGGUAUUGUAGAACAUUCUUUAAUUAUGUCUUUAUUUACUUAAUCACAACCUGCUGAACACAAAAGUAAGAUAGUUUGAAGAAUGUUGAUAUGCAAACCCAGAUCUGUUGGGUUGGCAUUCACUUCCAUUAAAGAAAAAAAAAUAUGGAAGUGAAUAGUGACCCAGAUCUUAUAUUGAUUUUUGCUGUGUUUGUAGUCUGAAUUGUGUAUUUUUGUUAUUUGGUUUUCUAGCCCUCAGAGGAUCCGGAUACCUACAUCCACAGGCGUGCAUUUUCCAGUCCGGUCUUGCUGGUUGGUGAGGAGAACUGCAUGGUGGUUGUAGGUACAACCCCAGUUCUAACAUUUGACAAAGACUUGCUCUAUGAGGGGCCUCUCUACCUCCUGGCCUAUUACUAUGCAUUUAAUCUCACAUAUCCAAAGUGUCUUGCAACCCUCUUGUCUGUGUUGCAAACACAAGUUCUGAGAGAUGUCAUCCACGAGCAGGAUGAAACCCCCUCGUACAAAAAGGCCAUUCAUGAAUGGAGAAUGUUUGUUGACUAAUUGCUGUUUCAAGCUGCUGUGGCUGAGAGACAGCUGCAUUUUUUUUUCGGCCAUUACAUUUGCACUUGAUUUGUGCUGUUAGGAGUUUUUCCCCAUUUUCAGUAUAUUAAAUGUAUCUAACAUACAAUAAUGCAGCACAGCAAAACAAAAAGUAAUUGUUGUGUGUAACUUUACAGGACAUUUUUUGUUAUUAUUAUUAAUGUUGGACUGUUCAUCCUGUUUUGCUGUACCCCAGUUGUUUAAGAGGAAAAUGUUCAUUUUUGAAUCUGCCAUUCAUUCAAGCCAUUGUUGACCCAAACUUCAAUUACUUCUUAAUCUUAUGUUGUUUCAACCUUGGAUUUAUCUACAGAAGAUAUUAUUUAGAAUGUUGGUAACUGUUGAUGGUAGCUAUUGACUUUCAUAGUAUUUUUUUAAUUUAUUUUGUAUAUUUUUCUUGCUAUGAUAGCUACCGACAUUUUUCAAAGUGUCAUCUUCUGCAAAGAAACUCAUACAGGAUUUGAAGAACAUAAGGGUGAGCAUGAUAAUUAUUUGAUUUUUGGGUUACUAUUCUGUUACAUAGUGAAUUGAUCCAGGCUGUUUGAAGCUUAAAUGCUGUUUGAGUUUGUGUAGACUGAGGCAAAGCAUUUUGCAUAGAAUACUUGCGGUUUCUGUGCCAGGUAUUUUAUUUCAUUUUAAAGUGUAAGCUUGUCUUUGCUUAUCCUGCCUUAUGCUCCAUUUGUUCAGAACUUUGGAGAAUGUUCUUUAAUAAAUGUUCAGCAAAGCUGGAAGUUGUUUCUUCACUUAAGUGGGGGAAGGUGUGGGAGGUAUUUUCUUUUAAGAGUUUUCAUCUCAUUUUAGGUUUUUUUGUGAUCUUAAAAAAAGUCUAAAUAGGCUGGAUUUAAGGUAAAAUAUUCUACUUUCAAUGUAUUUUCUCCCCCUAAAAUUAUUAUUGUCGUGCUUCAAAAAAGAGAAAACUGUUUAAUUUUAAGCUUGUUUGUCUAGUUUUAAGAACUAACUGUAGAUUUACUGACUAGAUUUAAGUCCAAAUAUUCUAGUUUUAAUGCAAUUUGUUCUAGAAUUAUUCAUGUUCAGUGCUUAUUAAAAUAAAAAAACUGCUUAAUUUUAAGCUUGUUUGUCUGGUUUUAAGAACUAACUCUAGAUUUACUGACUAGAUUUAAGUUCAAAUAUUCUAGUUUUUAUGCAAUUUGUUCUAGAAUUAUUAAUAUUUAGUGCUUAUAAAAAGAAAAAACUGCUUAGUUUUAAGCAUAUUUGUCUAGUUUUAAGAACC
ensembl:lincRNA